CCUACGGGAGGCAGCAGUGAGGAAUAUUGGUCAAUGGGCGCGAGCCUGAACCAGCCAAGUCGCGUGAGGGAAGACGGUCCUAUGGAUUGUAAACCUCUUUUGUCGGGGAGCAAAAGACGCCACGCGUGGCGUUCCGAGAGUACCCGAAGAAAAAGCAUCGGCUAACUCCGUGCCAGCAGCCGCGGUAAUACGGAGGAUGCGAGCGUUAUCCGGAUUUAUUGGGUUUAAAGGGUGCGCAGGCGGAAGAUCAAGUCAGCGGUAAAAUUGAGGGGCUCAACCUCUUCGAGCCGGUGAAACUGGUUUUCUGGAGUGAGUGAGAAGUAUGCGGAAUGCGUGGUGUAGCGGUGAAAUGCAUAGAUAUCACGCAGAACUCCGAUUGCGAAGGCAGCAUACCGGCGCUCAACUGACGCUCAUGCACGAAAGUGUGGGUAUCGAACAGGAUUAGAUACCCCGGUAGUC
rnacentral:rRNA from 1 species